AACGCACGAGACCUGCGGACCUGCGGAGGGAUCAUUAACAAGGGGAGCGGGGUGGUUGCGCGGGCCGAGGCCGUGCGCGUGCGCGUGAGCGUGUGCGGGCCGAGGGCCGUGCGAUUGCCACGAAGCGCGUUGUGGGUGGGGGUGCGUUGUCGGGUGGGAAUCCGGCGACGCGACCUCUGAGUGCGUUGCCAGGUGAAAAAUCCGGCGACGCAACCAGCACACAACGCGCGCACAUUGACG
rnacentral:misc_RNA from 1 species